GAUGAAGAACGCAGCGAAAUGCGAUAAGUAAUGUGAAUUGCAGAAUUCAGUGAAUCAUCGAAUCUUUGAACGCACAUUGCGCCCGCCAGUAUUCUGGCGGGCAUGCCUGUUCGAGCGUCAUUUCAACCAUCAAGCCCCCGGCGUGUGUUGGGGACCUGCGGCUGCCGCAGGCCCUGAAAACCAGUGGCGGGCUCGCUAGUCACUCCGAGCGUAGUAAUACAUCUCGCUCAGGGCGUGCUGCGGGUUCCGGCCGUUAAAAAGCCUUAUUUACCCAAGGUUGACCUCGGAUCAGGUAGGAAGACCCGCUGAACUUAAGCAUAUCAAUAAGCGGAGGA
rnacentral:misc_RNA from 1 species